rnacentral:rRNA from 1 species
GAUGAACGUUGGCGGCGUGCCUAACACAUGCAAGUCGAACGCUAGUAGCAAUAUUAGAGUGGCGCACGGGUGAGUAACACGUAGCUUAUCUACCUCCCAGCGCGGGAUAACGGUUCGAAAGAACUGCUAAUACCGCAUAAGCUCACGAGCUAUAGAGGCUGGUGAGAAAAGGCUUAGGUCACUGGGAGCGGGGGCUGCGGCCCAUCAGCUAGUUGGNGAGGUAACGGCUUACCAAGGCGACGACGGGGUAGGGGACCUGAGAGGGUCGACCCCCACACGUGGGACUGAGACACGGCCCAGACUCCGUACGGGAGGCAGCAGUGAGGAAUAUUGCACAAGUGGGCGCAAGCCUGAUGCAGCGACGCCG